GAACGGGGAGGAGCCCAGAGCCUGAAUCAGCAUGUGUGUUAGUGGAAGCGUCUGGAAAGGCGCGCGAUACAGGGUGACAGCCCCGUACACAAAAGCGCAUGUGCUGUGAGCUCGAUGAGUAGGGCGGGACACGUGGUAUCCUGUCUGAAUAUGGGGGGACCAUCCUCCAAGGCUAAAUACUCCUGACUGACCGAUAGUGAACCAGUACCGUGAGGGAAAGGCGAAAAGAACCCCGGCGAGGGGAGUGAAAAAGAACCUGAAACCGUGUACGUACAAGCAGUGGGAGCACCCUUCGGGGUGUGACUGCGUACCUUUUGUAUAAUGGGUCAGCGACUUAUAUUCUGUAGCAAGGUUAACCGUAUAGGGGAGCCGGAGGGAAACCGAGUCUUAAUUGGGCGUUAAGUUGCAGGGUAUAGACCCGAAACCCGGUGAUCUAGCCAUGGGCAGGUUGAAGGUUGGGUAACACUAACUGGAGGACCGAACCGACUAAUGUUGAAAAAUUAGCGGAUGACCUGUGGCUGGGGGUGAAAGGCCAAUCAAACCGGGAGAUAGCUGGUUCUCCCCGAAAGCUAUUUAGGUAGCGCCUCGUGAAUUCAUCUCCGGGGGUAGAGCACUGUUUCGGCUAGGGGGCCAUCCCGGCUUACCAACCCGAUGCAAACUGCGAAUACCGGAGAAUGUUAUCACGGGAGACACACGGCGGGUGCUAACGUCCGUCGUGAAGAGGGAAACAACCCAGACCGCCAGCUAAGGUCCCAAAGUCAUGGUUAAGUGGGAAACGAUGUGGGAAGGCCCAGACAGCCAGGAUGUUGGCUUAGAAGCAGCCAUCAUUUAAAGAAAGCGUAAUAGCUCACUGGUCGAGUCGGCCUGCGCGGAAGAUGUAACGGGGCUAAACCAUGCACCGAAGCUGCGGCAGCGAACGUAUCACCCAAGACAACUUUACGGAGUUGACGAUUGACGGAGCGAAGCGACGUCAAAGCGUUCAUUAAAGUCGAGUUGGCUUAGGGAUACGUUCGUUGGGUAGGGGAGCGUUCU
rnacentral:rRNA from 1 species